AGGAGAGGAAGCAGAAAAUGUGAUAAAAAAUAUAUUAGCUCUAGCAAUCCAAGUUGAAAAUCAGAUUGAAUACAUCAAUAUAGAGAAGCUAAAUUUAGAUGAAGGAUAUUUGAGCAAAAACAUUGACAAAAUGGGAGUUGAAGGGAAUUUAUCUCUGAGGCAGAUAAAAAAGUUGAAAAUAAAUCAAGGAAUAUAGAGAAAGAAAGAUAAGAG
rnacentral:lncRNA from 1 species